AGAGUUUGAUCAUGGCUCAGGACGAACGCUGGCGGCGUGCCUAAUACAUGCAAGUCGAACGAACUCUGGUAUUGAUUGGUGCUUGCAUCAUGAUUUACAUUUGAGUGAGUGGCGAACUGGUGAGUAACACGUGGGAAACCUGCCCAGAAGCGGGGGAUAACACCUGGAAACAGAUGCUAAUACCGCAUAACAACUUGGACCGCAUGGUCCGAGUUUGAAAGAUGGCUUCGGCUAUCACUUUUGGAUGGUCCCGCGGCGUAUUAGCUAGAUGGUGGGGUAACGGCUCACCAUGGCAAUGAUACGUAGCCGACCUGAGAGGGUAAUCGGCCACAUUGGGACUGAGACACGGCCCAAACUCCUACGGGAGGCAGCAGUAGGGAAUCUUCCACAAUGGACGAAAGUCUGAUGGAGCAACGCCGCGUGAGUGAAGAAGGGUUUCGGCUCGUAAAACUCUGUUGUUAAAGAAGAACAUAUCUGAGAGUAACUGUUCAGGUAUUGACGGUAUUUAACCAGAAAGCCACGGCUAACUACGUGCCAGCAGCCGCGGUAAUACGUAGGUGGCAAGCGUUGUCCGGAUUUAUUGGGCGUAAAGCGAGCGCAGGCGGUUUUUUAAGUCUGAUGUGAAAGCCUUCGGCUCAACCGAAGAAGUGCAUCGGAAACUGGGAAACUUGAGUGCAGAAGAGGACAGUGGAACUCCAUGUGUAGCGGUGAAAUGCGUAGAUAUAUGGAAGAACACCAGUGGCGAAGGCGGCUGUCUGGUCUGUAACUGACGCUGAGGCUCGAAAGUAUGGGUAGCAAACAGGAUUAGAUACCCUGGUAGUCCAUACCGUAAACGAUGAAUGCUAAGUGUUGGAGGGUUUCCGCCCUUCAGUGCUGCAGCUAACGCAUUAAGCAUUCCGCCUGGGGAGUACGGCCGCAAGGCUGAAACUCAAAGGAAUUGACGGGGGCCCGCACAAGCGGUGGAGCAUGUGGUUUAAUUCGAAGCUACGCGAAGAACCUUACCAGGUCUUGACAUACUAUGCAAAUCUAAGAGAUUAGACGUUCCCUUCGGGGACAUGGAUACAGGUGGUGCAUGGUUGUCGUCAGCUCGUGUCGUGAGAUGUUGGGUUAAGUCCCGCAACGAGCGCAACCCUUAUUAUCAGUUGCCAGCAUUAAGUUGGGCACUCUGGUGAGACUGCCGGUGACAAACCGGAGGAAGGUGGGGAUGACGUCAAAUCAUCAUGCCCCUUAUGACCUGGGCUACACACGUGCUACAAUGGAUGGUACAACGAGUUGCGAACUCGCGAGAGUAAGCUAAUCUCUUAAAGCCAUUCUCAGUUCGGAUUGUAGGCUGCAACUCGCCUACAUGAAGUCGGAAUCGCUAGUAAUCGCGGAUCAGCAUGCCGCGGUGAAUACGUUCCCGGGCCUUGUACACACCGCCCGUCACACCAUGAGAGUUUGUAACACCCAAAGUCGGUGGGGUAACCUUUUAGGAACCAGCCGCCUAAGGUGGGACAGAUGAUUAGGGUGAAGUCGUAACAAGGUAGCCGUAGGAGAACCUGCGGUUGGAUCAC
rnacentral:rRNA from 2 species